rnacentral:pre_miRNA from 1 species
AGUGGAAUUGCUGGGUUGUAUGGUAGAUCUAUUUCUAGCUUUUCAAGGAAGUGCCAAAUUGAUUUCCAAAGUGGCUGUACCAUUUCACAUUCCCACCAGCAGU